GGAGAAAUUCCAAUCGAACCUGGAGAUAGCUGGUUCUCUCCGAAAUAGCUUUAGGGCUAGCCUCAAGUGAUGAUUAUUGGAGGUAGAGCACUGUUUGGACGAGGGGCCCCUCUCGGGUUACCGAAUUCAGACAAACUCCGAAUGCCAAUUAAUUUAACUUGGGAGUCAGAACAUGGGUGAUAAGGUCCGUGUUCGAAAGGGAAACAGCCCAGACCACCAGCUAAGGUCCCAAAAUAUAUGUUAAGUGGAAAAGGAUGUGGCGUUGCCCAGACAACUAGGAUGUUGGCUUAGAAGCAGCCAUCAUUUAAAGAGUGCGUAAUAGCUCACUAGUCGAGUGACACUGCGCCGAAAAUGUACCGGGGCUAAACAUAUUACCGAAGCUGUGGAUUGUCCUUUGGACAAUGGUAGGAGAGCGUUCUAAGGGCGUUGAAGCAUGAUCGUAAGGACAUGUGGAGCGCUUAGAAGUGAGAAUGCCGGUGUGAGUAGCGAAAGACGGGUGAGAAUCCCGUCCACCGAUUGACUAAGGUUUCCAGAGGAAGGCUCGUCCGCUCUGGGUUAGUCGGGUCCUAAGCUGAGGCCGACAGGCGUAGGCGAUGGAUAACAGGUUGAUAUUCCUGUACCACCUAUAAUCGUUUUAAUCGAUGGGGGGACGCAGUAGGAUAGGCGAAGCGUGCGAUUGGAUUGCACGUCUAAGCAGUAAGGCUGAGUAUUAGGCA
rnacentral:rRNA from 1 species